AAAAAAAAAAACAGCCAUCAAUAUAUAUGAGUUUAUCCCAAAAAGAAGUCAUCUACAUAUAGGAAUUUAUGAGUACUACACAAAAAAGAGAUCAUCUACAUCCAGGAGCUUAUACCAAGAAGAGGUCAGUUACAAGUAGUAGGAAUUUAUACAAAAAACAUGCAAGAUGCUCAAGGCUACAAAAGAGAAAAUCAGUAAACUUUAAAAAUAGAUUGUACUACUACUAGGAUUGACAUACAUAUAUCCCAUAUCACAUUUUGAGGAAACCAUUAGCUUCAUUGACAACAUCAGUAUCUCAACAAAGUUGAACCGGAAGACUUUCUUCUCGUUCUAAUCUUUCUUUCAUCAAGUGAGACAAUCUAUAGUUGUUCCCGCCUUUAGCUUUCAUAACCUCAAUCAUGCAAGAUUGCAAAGUUAAAAAUACGUGAUUGAGUCACUCCACUUUCAUUUCAUUAAAAGAAGUUGCAACUGCAUUUAUCAACUCAUCAAUAGCCUUUUGGUAUUGAAGGAAUUGAAUGGCUCUAAAGAAUCCAAGAUCUAAUGGUAUUGAAGG
rnacentral:lncRNA from 1 species